UACGAAGGGGGCGAGCGUUGUUCGGAUUUACUGGGCGUAAAGGGCGCGCAGGCGGCUCAUUUUGUCAGGCGUGAAAGCCCCGGGCUUAACCUGGGAACUGCGUUUGAUACGGAUGGGCUAGAGUUCGGGAGAGGAGAGUGGAAUUCCCAGUGUAGAGGUGAAAUUCGUAGAUAUUCGGAAGAACACCAGUGGCGAAGGCGACUCACUGGACGACUGUUGACGCUGAGGUGCGAAAGCGUGGGGAGCAAACAGG
rnacentral:rRNA from 1 species